UUAAGCGACUAAGCGUACACGGUGGAUGCCCUGGCAGUCAGAGGCGAUGAAGGACGUGCUAAUCUGCGAUAAGCGUCGGUGAGGUGAUAUGAACCGUUAUAACCGGCGAUUUCCGAAUGGGGAAACCCAGUGUGUUUCGACACACUAUCAUUAACUGAAUCCAUAGGUUAAUGAGGCGAACCGGGGGAACUGAAACAUCUAAGUACCCCGAGGAAAAGAAAUCAACCGAGAUUCCCCCAGUAGCGGCGAGCGAACGGGGAGGAGCCCAGAGCCUGAAUCAGUGUGUGUGUUAGUGGAAGCGUCUGGAAAGGCGUGCGAUACAGGGUGACAGCCCCGUACACAAAAAUGCACAUAUUGUGAGCUCGAUGAGUAGGGCGGGACACGUGGUAUCCUGUCUGAAUAUGGGGGGACCAUCCUCCAAGGCUAAAUACUCCUGACUGACCGAUAGUGAACCAGUACCGUGAGGGAAAGGCGAAAAGAACCCCGGCGAGGGGAGUGAAAAAGAACCUGAAACCGUGUACGUACAAGCAGUGGGAGCCUCUUAAUGGGGUGACUGCGUACCUUUUGUAUAAUGGGUCAGCGACUUAUAUUCUGUAGCAAGGUUAACCGAAUAGGGGAGCCGAAGGGAAACCGAGUCUUAACUGGGCGUUAAGUUGCAGGGUAUAGACCCGAAACCCGGUGAUCUAGCCAUGGGCAGGUUGAAGGUUGGGUAACACUAACUGGAGGACCGAACCGACUAAUGUUGAAAAAUUAGCGGAUGACUUGUGGCUGGGGGUGAAAGGCCAAUCAAACCGGGAGAUAGCUGGUUCUCCCCGAAAGCUAUUUAGGUAGCGCCUCGUGAAUUCAUCUCCGGGGGUAGAGCACUGUUUCGGCAAGGGGGUCAUCCCGACUUACCAACCCGAUGCAAACUGCGAAUACCGGAGAAUGUUAUCACGGGAGACACACGGCGGGUGCUAACGUCCGUCGUGAAGAGGGAAACAACCCAGACCGCCAGCUAAGGUCCCAAAGUCAUGGUUAAGUGGGAAACGAUGUGGGAAGGCCCAGACAGCCAGGAUGUUGGCUUAGAAGCAGCCAUCAUUUAAAGAAAGCGUAAUAGCUCACUGGUCGAGUCGGCCUGCGCGGAAGAUGUAACGGGGCUAAACCAUGCACCGAAGCUGCGGCAGCGACACUAUGUGUUGUUGGGUAGGGGAGCGUUCUGUAAGCCUGUGAAGGUGGCCUGUGAGGGUUGCUGGAGGUAUCAGAAGUGCGAAUGCUGACAUAAGUAACGAUAAAGCGGGUGAAAAGCCCGCUCGCCGGAAGACCAAGGGUUCCUGUCCAACGUUAAUCGGGGCAGGGUGAGUCGACCCCUAAGGCGAGGCUGAAAAGCGUAGUCGAUGGGAAACAGGUUAAUAUUCCUGUACUUGGUGUUACUGCGAAGGGGGGACGGAGAAGGCUAUGUUGGCCGGGCGACGGUUGUCCCGGUUUAAGCGUGUAGGCUGGUUUUCCAGGCAAAUCCGGAAAACCAAGGCUGAGGCGUGAUGACGAGGCACUACGGUGCUGAAGCGACAAAUGCCCUGCUUCCAGGAAAAGCCUCUAAGCAUCAGGUAACAUCAAAUCGUACCCCAAACCGACACAGGUGGUCAGGUAGAGAAUACCAAGGCGCUUGAGAGAACUCGGGUGAAGGAACUAGGCAAAAUGGUGCCGUAACUUCGGGAGAAGGCACGCUGAUAUGUAGGUGAAGCGACUUGCUCGUGGAGCUGAAAUCAGUCGAAGAUACCAGCUGGCUGCAACUGUUUAUUAAAAACACAGCACUGUGCAAACACGAAAGUGGACGUAUACGGUGUGACGCCUGCCCGGUGCCGGAAGGUUAAUUGAUGGGGUUAGCGGUAACGCGAAGCUCUUGAUCGAAGCCCCGGUAAACGGCGGCCGUAACUAUAACGGUCCUAAGGUAGCGAAAUUCCUUGUCGGGU
rnacentral:rRNA from 1 species